AGGUAACGGUCGGAAAAAAAAUCGUUGCUGAAAUAAGUGCAAAAUGGCAUAAGCGUGCUUAAACUGCGAAGAACCGACAAAAGUCGAAGCAAGGUGCGAAAAAAGCAGGUCAUAGUGAUCCGGUGGUUCUGUAUGGAAGGGCCAUCGCUCAACGGAUAAAAGGUACUCUGGGGAUAACAGGCUGAUACCGCCCAAGAGUUCAUAUCGACGGCGGUGUUUGGCACCUCGAUGUCGGCUCAUCUCAUCCUGGGGCUGUAGCCGGUCCCAAGGGUAUGGCUGUUCGCCAUUUAAAGAGGUACGUGAGCUGGGUUUAAAACGUCGUGAGACAGUUUGGUCCCUAUCUGCCGUGGGCGUUGGAAGUUUGAAGGGGGCUGCUCCUAGUACGAGAGGACCGGAGUGGACGAACCUCUGGUGUACCGGUUGUGACGCCAGUCGCAUCGCCGGGUAGCUAUGUUCGGAAGAGAUAACCGCUGAAAGCAUCUAAGCGGGAAACUCGCCUUAAGAUGAGACUUCCCCGGGGACUUGAUCCCCUUGAAGGGUCGUUCGAGACCAGGACGUUGAUAGGUCGGGUGUGUAAGCGCAGUAAUGCGUUCAGCUAACCGAUACUAAUUGCCCGUACGGCUUGAUCCUAUAACA
rnacentral:rRNA from 1 species